rnacentral:misc_RNA from 1 species
UGCUGCUCCUAGCAGAGUUGGAAACUUAUAAAAGACGUUGAUCUGUAGCUCGUGCGAUCAGUUUCUCAACAUGUCACAGUGGUGCAUAAGGCCAGGAGGACCCUUCAACCCGGAGGACCCUUCUGCCAUUCGGACCGAACCAUCUCCCCACAGCAGGAUGGAAGCCAAAAUGUACGGAGCAGGUUCCGAAUUAUCCAUCGUCAGCCGGAGCACGAUGAGCACCUGGAUAUCAGAUCGUCAUUUUGUUGAUGAAAUCCAUAAAAAGAGGCGUCGAGUGUGCAAGCGAUGGCGGAAAACGUGUACGCGAGAUUUGCUUUAUCGCCGGUUGCCUUUCUUAUCCUGGAUCACUAAAUAUGAUUUCUCCAAGCUCCUGUCUGACGCCAACGCUGGCAUGGCCGUCUCCUUGACGGCCAUCCCGCAAACCAUCGGCUACGCAGCGGUGGCUGGCCUUCCGGCACAGAUCGGCCUCUAUUCGGCUUUUAUGGGCCCGUUGAUGUACAUUUUCUUUGGAACCGUCAGAGAAAUAUCUGUCGGUCCAAACAGUGUUCUCGCCUUGAUGAUCAAUUCUUACGUCAGCGAGGGCGGAGUCGCCUACGCCGUCAUCCUAGCCUUUCUCACUGGCGUUAUCCAGUUAAUUAUUGGAUUAUUGAAUUUAGGUUUUAUCGUCGAUCUAAUAUCGGCACCUGUUAUUUCGGGAUUUUGCUCGGCGGCCGCACUGACCGCCAUCGCUACGCAAAUGAAAGGGCUCUUGGGACUCAAGUUCCAAGGAUCGAAUUUCCUCGGCGUGUGGAGAGGAGUGUUUGAAAAUCUGUCCGACAUCAACUAUUAUGAUGCCGGGUUAGGAUUCCUAACAAUCUUCAUUUUGCUCAUAAUGCGAAAGCUCAACUGUAUGAUGAAUCUCGAGGUCUUCAAGGGACAGUCUUGUUUACAAAAUCGCUGGAUUUCCCGGGUGUUGUGGUUCCUUUCAUCCAGCCGCAACGCUUCUGUUCUAAUAUUCAGCUGUCUGGCAGCGUACCUGUUGGAAAUAAAUGGAUUGAAUCAAUUGACCUUGUCAGGUGAUAUUGAGCCAGGACUGCCGACAUUCAAGUUACCGCCAUUUCAAAUUGAGCGUCAAGUGGAUGACGACGAAAUUCAAGUUUUGAAUUUUUCAGACAUUUGUGCCGAAAUAGGAGCCAUGGGCAUUGCCCUGUUCCCGUUAGUCUCCAUCCUGGAGCAAGUGGCCAUCGCCAAAACUUAUUCUCACGGCAAAAGUACCGAUGCCACUCAAGAGAUUAUCACUCUUGGAAUCGGUAACAUUGCCGGCUCCUUUGUUGGAGCCAUGCCAAUAUCCGCCAGCUUCGGACGCUCGGCUGUUCAAUCGUCGAGUGGUGUACGAACCCCUAUGGUCAACGUCUUUUCGAGCGGUGUGAUCCUAUUGGCCCUUGGCCUUCUCAUGCCAGCAUUCUAUUAUCUACCCAAAGCUGUGCUGGCCGCCGUUGUCAUCUCAUCCGUUAUGUUUCUGGUAGAAUACGAAGAAAUCAAGCCCAUGUGGAAAUCGAGAAGAAUCGAGUUGCUUCCCUUGGUGAUUACUUUCCUCAGUUGCCUCUUCGUGAACAUGGAGUUUGGCAUAAUACUGGGGGCUGGCUUUCACCUUUUGCUCCUAUUGCACUUGGGAAAUAAGCCAAAAAUCUCUGUCGGAGAAAUUCAGGCCAUAAACGUCAUCAAAACAUCGACGCCGGAAUCGACUAUGAGAAAGGCCAGCGCCAGCCUCGGGUUUGUCAAGUGAAAACGCGCAAAAGGCGGGUGGAGCGCGAUCCAGUUGUUGAAAAACGCAACAGACUAGAGUGAUAAAUAGGGGUAGUUUCAAGGUGGCAAAAAUGCAUGAUGACGUGAUAGAUAUCCCCUUUUCGUAUCAGUUGGUGCUUGGUCAUGCGACGAGGCCGAUCCCGGUCCAACAACGAAAAUCUGUCCGUGAAUUGGUCAACACUUCUGCCAUAGAAGCCAAAAGGAUAAGAUUAAUCUGUGACCGAAGUCUACAUUUCCCCGGCAUCGAGACGUUCCGGAGUCGCAUCAACGAGGUUAUCCACGACGAGGGAUGCGAGAAACUCAUCAUCAUCGCCGACUUGGAGCGUGUCCUCGAAAUGGACUACACUUCGCUCAAA